UAGCUACAGGCUUAACACAUGCAAGUCGAGGGUUAGCAUGGUCUUAGCUUGCUAAGGCCGAUGGCGACCGGCGCACGGGUGAGUAACACGUAUCCAACCUGCCGUCUACUCUUGGACAGCCUUCUGAAAGGAAGAUUAAUACAAGAUGGCAUCAUGAGUCCGCAUGUUCACAUGAUUAAAGGUAUUCCGGUAGACGAUGGGGAUGCGUUCCAUUAGAUAGUAGGCGGGGUAACGGCCCACCUAGUCUUCGAUGGAUAGGGGUUCUGAGAGGAAGGUCCCCCACAUUGGAACUGAGACACGGUCCAAACUCCUACGGGAGGCAGCAGUGAGGAAUAUUGGUCAAUGGGCGAGAGCCUGAACCAGCCAAGUAGCGUGAAGGAUGACUGCCCUAUGGGUUGUAAACUUCUUUUAUAAAGGAAUAAAGUCGGGUAUGGAUACCCGUUUGCAUGUACUUUAUGAAUAAGGAUCGGCUAACUCCGUGCCAGCAGCCGCGGUAAUACGGAGGAUCCGAGCGUUAUCCGGAUUUAUUGGGUUUAAAGGGAGCGUAGAUGGAUGUUUAAGUCAGUUGUGAAAGUUUGCGGCUCAACCGUAAAAUUGCAGUUGAUACUGGAUAUCUUGAGUGCAGUUGAGGCAGGCGGAAUUCGUGGUGUAGCGGUGAAAUGCUUAGAUAUCACGAAGAACUCCGAUUGCGAAGGCAGCCUGCUAAGCUGCAACUGACAUUGAGGCUCGAAAGUGUGGGUAUCAAACAGGAUUAGAUACCCUGGUAGUCCACACGGUAAACGAUGAAUACUCGCUGUUUGCGAUAUACUGCAAGCGGCCAAGCGAAAGCGUUAAGUAUUCCACCUGGGGAGUACGCCGGCAACGGUGAAACUCAAAGGAAUUGACGGGGGCCCGCACAAGCGGAGGAACAUGUGGUUUAAUUCGAUGAUACGCGAGGAACCUUACCCGGGCUUAAAUUGCAGAUGAAUUACGGUGAAAGCCGUAAGCCGCAAGGCAUCUGUGAAGGUGCUGCAUGGUUGUCGUCAGCUCGUGCCGUGAGGUGUCGGCUUAAGUGCCAUAACGAGCGCAACCCUUGUUGUCAGUUACUAACAGGUUCCGCUGAGGACUCUGACAAGACUGCCAUCGUAAGAUGUGAGGAAGGUGGGGAUGACGUCAAAUCAGCACGGCCCUUACGUCCGGGGCUACACACGUGUUACAAUGGGGGGUACAGAGGGCCGCUACCACGCGAGUGGAUGCCAAUCCCCAAAACCUCUCUCAGUUCGGACUGGAGUCUGCAACCCGACUCCACGAAGCUGGAUUCGCUAGUAAUCGCGCAUCAGCCACGGCGCGGUGAAUACGUUCCCGGGCCUUGUACACACCGCCCGUCAAGCCAUGGGAGCCGGGGGUACAAGAAGUGCGUAACCGCGAGGAGCGCCCUAGGGUAAAACUGGUA
rnacentral:rRNA from 1 species